rnacentral:rRNA from 1 species
GAACGCUGGCGGCGUGCUUAACACAUGCAAGUCGAACGGAGGUUAUUUUGAAACCUAGUGAUAAAUGACCUUAGUGGCGGACGGGUGAGUAACGCGUGGAUAACCUGCCUGACUGACCGGGACAACACCGGGAAACUGGUGCUAAUACCGGAUACGCUCUUGGGGGCACAUGCUUUUGAGAGGGAAGGAGCAAUCCGCAGACAGAUGGGUCCGCGUCCCAUUAGCUAGUUGGUGGUGUAAGAGACCACCAAGGCGACGAUGGGUAGCCGGCCUGAGAGGGUGGACGGCCACACUGGAACUGAGACACGGUCCAGACUCCUACGGGAGGCAGCAGUGGGGAAUCUUCCGCAAUGGGCGAAAGCCUGACGGAGCAACGCCGCGUGAGUGAAGAAGGCCUUCGGGUCGUAAAACUCUGUCUUCAGGGAAGAAAAAAAUGACGGUACCUGAGGAGGAAGCCCCGGCUAACUACGUGCCAGCAGCCGCGGUAAAACGUAGGGGGCGAGCGUU